ensembl:misc_RNA Metazoa_SRP Metazoan signal recognition particle RNA
GCUGGGUGUGGUGGCGCACAUCUGUAGUCCCAGCUACUCAGGAGGCUGAGGCGGGAGGAUCACUUGAGCCCAGGAGUUUGAGGCUGCUGUGAGCUGUGAUUGCACCACUACACUCCAGCCUGGAUGACAGAGUGAGACCCUGUCUCUA